AUCGCUUCUCAGCCUUUUGGCUAAGAUCAAGUGUAGUAAGAUUUCAAAUCAGUCUCAUUUGCUCUCGGUAAUGUUGCUUACAAUAGUGCAUGCCAAUUUCAGUGGCUUCUUAAAAUUGAAUAAAUACAAUUAAUCAUUUUUUGGGAUUAAAA
rnacentral:snRNA from 1 species